GCGCCAUGAGCCCAGUUUGCGAAUCGUCACUUGUGAUGAAUUGUGGUAUGCAGGCCUUUUUGUUCAGUUGAUGGACUAAGUCCCCUGGAACGGGGCAGCUGAGAGGGUGAGACUCCCGUGUGUCUGUUAGCGCGAGAACUGGCCAACGAGUCGAGUUGUUUGGGAUUGCAGCUCUAAGCGGGUGGUAAAUUCCAUCCAAGGCUAAAUAUUGGUGAGAGACCGAUAGCGUACAAGUACCGUGAGGGAAAGAUGCAAAGCCGCGCGAGAGCGCUGUCAAAGAGUACCUGAAAUUGCUGAAAAGGAAGCGAAGGAAACCAGUGUAAGCCUUUCGGCACUUCCCCGGCUGCUUGCUGCUGGGGCGCU
rnacentral:rRNA from 1 species